AGAGAGAGACAUGCGCGCAUAUCAAUAAGCGGAGGAAAAGAAACUAACUAGGAUUCCCUAGUAACGGCGAGUGAAGCGGGAAGAGCUCAAAUUUGAAAUCUUCAAGGUUCUACCUUGACGAAUUGUAGUUUAUAAGAAGUGUUUUCUGUUAGGUGUAUUGGCUAAAAGUUCUUUGGAAUAGGACAUCAUAGAGGGUGAGAAUCCCGUAUUUGGUCAUUCCUCCUAGCGUUGUGAUACACUUUCAACGAGUCGGAUUGUUUGGGAAUGCAGUCCAAAAUGGGUGGUAAAUUUCAUCUAAAGCUAAAUAUUGGCGAGAGACCGAUAGCGAACAAGUACCGUGAGGGAAAGAUGAAAAGAACUUUGAAAAGAGAGUUAAACAGUACGUGAAAUUGUCAAAAGGGAAGCGUUUGACACCAGUGUUGUUUUUCCGAAAAUCAAUUACGAAUGUUUUAUUUUUGAGGAGUUAUGACUUCAUCGGCUUGCUUCUUUCUUUACUGAAACUUUCUUAAUGCACUUUUCGGUUAACAAGUCAACAUCAAUUUCUUUUGUUGUAAAAGGGUACGAGGAAGGUGGCUUUCUUUUCGGAGAAAGUGUUUAUAGCCUUGUGCCUCUGCAAUCGGAGAGAUUGAGGUCUGCAGCGUAGAUCCUUCGGGGUUAGAUACAUUUGUGCUAAGUUAUAGCUUUUCAUAGACAACUUGUUGACUAUGUUUAGUCUUGUAGCUUACUCGCUGAUGCUAUUUUACCUACGCUUAGGAUGUUGAUAGUCACAGCGUGUAC
rnacentral:rRNA from 1 species